rnacentral:rRNA from 1 species
UACCGCGGUUAUACGAGAGGCCCAAGUUGAUAAGCCCCGGCGUAAAGCGUGGUUAAGGAACAAGACAUACUAAAGCCGAACGCUUACUAGGCUGUUAUACGCUUACGAAAGUAAGAAGCCCAUCCACGAAGGUGGCUUUAUUACACCUGAACCCACGAAAGCCAAGAUA